CUGGGAAGUGCCCAGAAAAGCUGAGGAAGUUGUGAUCAUACUUAGCUCUCUCUUUUCCCUGGGGGAGAAACCAUGGGCUGAGGGAACCUCUCUAGGCACGGAGCUGUGAUGGCCUGCAGAAGGGAUAAUGCUCAUAGGCAGAAGGAACUUGCCUUGUCUUAGAUAAGACUUUGGACUUGAACUUUUGGGUUAAUGCUGGAAUAAGCUAAGAACUUGGGGGACUGUUGGAAAGACUUUCCUACCUACAAAUGCUGCCACUGCUGGAUGCUGUCACCAGGACUAAAUCAUGAGCCACUGGCAGUAAUUCUGCAACCCCCAACACUGGGGAAGCCACACAUUUACAAAUACCCCAAGGACCAAGGACAGAUGAACUUACCCACAAAUACCACCUGCAGCCAAAGCAUGCACUCCCCAGCUGCCUGCCUACAGUUGCUCCAAC
rnacentral:lncRNA from 1 species